AUUGAACGCUGGCGGCAUGCCUAACACAUGCAAGUCGAACGGCAGCAUGAAUAGGGGUAACCUUAUUUGAUGGCGAGUGGCGAACGGGUGAGUAAUGUAUCGGAACGUGCCCAGGCGUGGGGGAUAACGGAGUGAAAAUUACGCUAAUACCGCAUACGACCUAUGGAUGAAAGCGGGAGAUCGCAAGAACCGGCGCGAUUGGAGCGGCCGAUAUCAGAUUAGGUAGUUGGUGGGGUAAAGGCCCACCAAGCCAACGAUCUGUAGCUGGUCUGAGAGGACGACCAGCCACACUGGAACUGAGACACGGUCCAGACUCCUACGGGAGGCAGCAGUGGGGAAUUUUGGACGAUGGGCGAAAGCCUGAUCCAGCCAUUCCGCGUGCAGGAUGAAGGCCCUCGGGUUGUAAACUGCUUUUGUACAGAACGAAAAGGUUUCUACUAAUACUAGGAGCUCAUGACGGUACUGUAAGAAUAAGCACCGGCUAACUACGUGCCAGCCGCCGCCGUAA
rnacentral:rRNA from 1 species